GACGAACGCUGGCGGCGUGCUUAACACAUGCAAGUCGAACGAUGAAGCCUAGCUUGCUAGGUGGAUUAGUGGCGAACGGGUGAGUAAUACGUGAGUAACCUACCUUUAACUCUGGGAUAAGCCCGGGAAACUGGGUCUAAUACCGGAUACGACCAAUCUCCGCAUGGGGUGUUGGUGGAAAGCGUUAUGUAGUGGUUAUAGAUGGGCUCACGGCCUAUCAGCUUGUUGGUGAGGUAACGGCUCACCAAGGCGACGACGGGUAGCCGGCCUGAGAGGGUGACCGGCCACACUGGGACUGAGACACGGCCCAGACUCCUACGGGAGGCAGCAGUGGGGAAUAUUGCACAAUGGGCGCAAGCCUGAUGCAGCGACGCCGCGUGAGGGAUGACGGCCUUCGGGUUGUAAACCUCUGUUAGCAGGGAAGAAGAGGGAUUGACGGUACCUGCAGAGAAAGCGCCGGCUAACUACGUG
rnacentral:rRNA from 1 species